UUCAACCCGACGCAUCUAUAUCCGUUAUCGUUCGAACAAAAUAUAAAACAUUCUAAAUACGUUUUCAAAAUUUUACACCACAUGAAAAGAACAGUUCCAGCAGAAGACCUUAAUUCAAAGUCUCCGCUGCAUAUGGAUUUCUACGACGCAACAGAACUAGGUCCCAGCUGUGUCGAUAAUGGACUUGCCAACUUGUAAAAUGGGUUGUGAAGACCCGCCCUCUUUUCUUUUAUCCAUCAGACAAGUUUCGUUGCAACUCCUCGAUCUGCAUCGAUAAUCUAUUCCUAUAAAUUCUGGGAUUUAGAAGCUAAACAUCAUCAUCACCAAAGCAUAGCAAAGAAAAGUGUGUGUGAUAAUGGAUAGCCACUAUCACCUCAGUAUUGCUCACUGUUUCCUUCUUUUCCUUUUGGCGUCUUCCUACAUGCGGAGUACUACUCAACUCUGUUUCUGUUUGGCCAGUGGUGAACUUUCAAGCAGUGUGGAAACAAAUUCGUGCAUCGACGAAGAAAGACGAGCGCUUCUCAUCUUUAAACGACAUCUUGUUGAUCCUUCUGGCAGGCUUUCCUCUUGGGUGGGUCACGAUUGCUGUCGAUGGGAAGGGAUUUCAUGCAACAACCUCACUGGUCAUGUCGUGAAGAUGGACCUCCGGAAUCGAUACCCAGAUCUAAAUUCCUUUCCGGCUUAUUUUAAGUCUCAAUUGGGAGGUAAGAUAAAUGCUUCUCUGUUGAGCUUGAAACAUUUAAAUUACCUGGACCUAAGCCUUAAUGAUUUUCAUGGCAUUCAAGUUCCUAAGUUCUUCGGGGAGCUUAAAAGUUUGCAAUAUCUCAAUCUCUCCUCUGCGUCAUUUGGAGGAGAGAUUCCCCCUUCUCUUGGUAACCUAUCAAGCCUCAAUUUUCUUGACCUUGGGGGGGAUCCAACCUUAGGGAGUAAUCAACUCUCAUCUUCCAGAAAUUUGAAUUGGCUGUCUCGCCUCUCUUCUCUAAAAUACCUUGAUCUCGGAGGCAUGAAUCUUAGCACCACAGGAGUCAAUUGGGCGUAUGCUGUUAAUAUGCUUCCUUCAUUAGCAGAGUUACACUUAUCUGAUUGCCAAAUUGAAAGCAUUUCACUCUCACUGCGGAGCAUUAACUUGACAUCACUUUUUAAUCUUACCAGCCUCAUAACACUUGAUCUAUCCUGGAAUGAUUUCGGUGAUCGUUUCCCAAGUGAAUUUGCAAACUUCAAAUCUCUGGAAUACCUUGAUUUAUCUAGUACAGGCUUAGAAGGCCAAAUUCCUAAAGUCAUUGGAAAUUUGUGCAAGCUAAAGGUCUUAAGUCAUUAUGAAAACGAAUUUAAUGGGGGGCUUGAAGAGUUUUGGAGAAGUUUCUCAAAUUGUUUAAAUAUUGCAUUAGAGUCACUAGAUUUGUCUUCUUGUGAGCUGGGAAGCCAACUGCCGGUCUCCUUAGGAAUGUUUAAAAGUAUGCAGAAUCUCUACCUUCAACACAACUCUUUGUGGGGCUCAAUUCCAGAUUCCAUUCAAAACUUGUCAUCCUUGAAAACUUUAGACCUCUCUUCUAAUAUGAUGACCGGCUCCAUUCCAGAUUCCAUUGGAAACUUGUCAUCCUUGAAAACUUUGGACCUCUCUUAUAAUAUGAUGAACGGCUCCAUUUCACAAAGUUUGGGACAACUCUCUCAGCUAGUUUCCCUCGAUCUGUCUUCUAAUCCUUGGGAGGGCAAUCUAACGGAAGCCCAUUUCAUAAAUCUUAUCCGGUUACAAGAUUUUAGAGCAGGAGGCAUAUACAACCACACGUCCCUCAUUUUUGACAUGGCUUAUGAUUGGGUUCCUCCAUUCAAGCUCCACAUAAUAGAUAUCAUAAAGUGUCAGAUAGGUCCUGGUUUUGGGGUAUGGCUUCAAUCUCAAACUGAACUGAGGAGCAUCUGUCUUACGGGUAAUGGAAUCUCGGAUUCCUUACCAAAUGACUGGCUGUUAAAGAUAUCUUCACAACUCAUCCAACUAGACUUGUCUUACAAUCAAUUUCGUGGAAACCUUCCAUCCCAUUUGAAAUCUCCAAAAUUGGAGUGGAUUGAUUUGAGUUAUAAUCAGUUGGAGGGCCCACUCCCACUUUGGUCGGCCACUAAGGUCACUCACUUUGAUCUUGAAAGCAAUUCCUUUUCCGGGCCAAUUCCCUCCAAUAUUGACCAGAUGAUGCCCAAUUUGAAUUCUUUGUAUCUUUCUGAGAAUCAUUUGAAUGGCAAUAUUCCUCGCUCUAUCUGUAACAUGCAGCAAUUGCAAGAAUUGUUUCUUUCUGAUAAUCAUUUGAAUGGCACUAUUCCUCCCUUUGUUUACAACAUGAAGCAGUUGCAAAUCUUGUCUCUAAGGAGCAAUCAAUUUCACGGAGAAUUUCGUCAUGCAUGGAAUGUGGGGAGCAAUAUGAGGUAUCUAGAUGUUAGUCAAAACAAUCUCUCGGGUAAUAUUCCCACAUCAUUGGGGGUAUUAAUUUCACUGGAAGUAUUAAAGCUCAACAACAACAAUUUUGACGGUGAAAUUCCAAAUUCCUUGCAAAAUUGUUCUCAGUUGACGAGUAUUGAUCUUGGAGACAACAAGUUAUUUGGCAAAAUACCACAGUGGAUAGGAGGAUUAAAUGUAUCCAUGUUGAAUAUGAUACGAUUACGGUCCAACAAAUUUAGUGGACAUAUAUCCCAGCAACUGUGCAAUCUUCAACAACUUCAUAUCCUCGACCUUAGUCACAACAACAUUUCAGGUACUAUUCCCAAGUGUUUGGGUAAUUUGGCUUCGCUGGUCAAUGAUUCAUAUACAUCAGAUGAUACUUUUUAUUACUCUGAUGAGCAAACCACACUGACACUAAAAGGAAGGGAACUUGUGUACAACACGACUCUGGAUCUUGUAACGAGCAUUGAUCUUUCAUCAAAUAAUUUACAAGGUGAAAUUCCUGAAGAAAUAAGUAGCCUCAUUCUAUUGGGCACCUUGAACUUGUCUAGGAAUCAAUUGAUUGGAAAGAUCCCUUCCGAGAUCGGAAACUUGCAUUGGCUCGAAACACUUGAUCUCUCACACAACCAUCUUUCAGGACAGAUUCCUCAAAGCUUGUCAUCUUUAACCUCACUAUCCCACUUGAACUUGUCUUACAACAACUUGUCUGGAAGAAUUCCUUCAGGAAACCAGCUUUAAACGCUCAUUGAUCCGUCCAUUUAUAUGGAAAAUCCAUCGCUAUGCGGCGUUCCUCUCUCAACUAAGUGCCCUGGAGAUGACACUUUCCCAUCUAAGGAUACAAAAGACAUGAAUGAAGGUGGAAAUGAUGAGUUGUGGUUCUAUGUCAUCAUGGUAUUUGGCUUUAUUGUAGGCUUUUGGGGGGUUUGCGGCACAUUGAUCUUAAAGACAUCAUGGAGGUAUGCAUAUUUUCAGUUCUUCGACAACAUCAAAGACAAGGUAGCACUAGCAAUUGUAUUGAAAGUGGCUUAUUUUCAAUGAAUGUUUUCUUAUGUUUGAUAGUACUACGUAUAUUUGUGGUUUCCUUUGUAUUUGGUUUAUGGGACUUGCAACUUAUGUAUUGAAUCAAAAAAAUUCUGCCUUUCAAUAAAUGUUCCCACAAACAAUUAUGUAUUAACUUGGAAUUAAUUAAAAUUUCUAGUUUGUACUUAUCAAUCGCAUAAACCAAAAAAAUUAGGGAAGGGGUAGUAACGUACAAUCGCGUUUAUUUCAUAAAACGAAAAUAAAGACGAGACGACUCAGACCUCUGCAACGGUCGACUGUUCUCAUUCCGCUCCAUCUCCGAAGAUCAGAAUCCGAGAAGAGCAAGAGAUAUCUCCAAAAUGACGUCGUUUAAGAAUUCGGCGUAGGACAGAAUCGGGUGGGAGAAGAAAACUCAACAUGCUCACGUGCUUGGUUCUUCUGCUGGUUUUAAGUUCUUGUGGUGGUGGUGGGAGAAGAACUAGAAGAAAACUCUACAAGUUCUUCUAGGAUUGUAGGGGGUGAUGCCUCUAAAAUUAUGAGCGGUAAAAGUGAGAGGAUUAAAUCUUUGCAACGGGUUUCAGUGGGUACAAACGUUAAGACUGUGAAUUUAUCAUCAAGGAUAUCCUUCCUGGGAAAAGGGCGGGAAAGCUUUAAUACUUCAGAAAUGCUGGUGUAGUUUCCCGGAUUCAAUUGUACCAUUUGAAUUUCUUUUUAUUAUGGAUAAACCUGUAGCUAUUAAAGACUUGAAAGCACCUUCAGAGAAUCAAAGGACCAAGGCUAUGGGUCUAAACCGUGAAUCUAUUGUUACAGAUGGCAGCUCUGAGCCACCUUUGUUUCCCUCUUCAUAAGAAAUUAGAAAUUGUGCCGCAAUUUGUUUGUUGUGCCUUUGUAAUAUUGACAUGUUUGUUUAUUUACUGUGAAUAAGAUCUGUAUCUGAUAUUGAUGUA